UGAUGACGACUGGCGCACGGGUGAGUAACGCGUAUCCAACCUUCCCAUAACUACGGGAUAACCCGUUGAAAGACGGCCUAAUACCGUAUGAUAUCGUUUGCUGACAUCAAAUAACGAUUAAAGGUUUAGCGGUUAUGGAUGGGGAUGCGUCUGAUUAGCUUGUUGGCGGGGUAACGGCCCACCAAGGCUACGAUCAGUAGGGGUUCUGAGAGGAAGGUCCCCCACAUUGGAACUGAGACACGGUCCAAACUCCUACGGGAGGCAGCAGUGAGGAAUAUUGGUCAAUGGGCGAGAGCCUGAACCAGCCAAGUAGCGUGCAGGACGACGGCCCUAUGGGUUGUAAACUGCUUUUAUGUGGGGAUAAAGUGCGUGACGUGUCAUGCAUUGCAGGUACCACAUGAAUAAGGACCGGCUAA
rnacentral:rRNA from 1 species